rnacentral:rRNA from 1 species
GUUUGAUCCUGGCUCAGAGCGAACGCUGGCGGCAGGCCUAACACAUGCAAGUCGAGCGCCCGUAGCAAUACGGGAGCGGCAGACGGGAGAGUAACACGUGGGAACGCGCCCUUCGGUUCGGAAUAACUCAGGGAAACUUGAGCUAAUACCGGAUACGCCCUUACGGGGAAAGAUUUAUUGCCGAAGGAACGGCCCGCGUCGGAUUAGCUAGUUGGUGAGGUAAUGGCUCACCAAGGCGACGAUCCGUAGCUGGUCUGAGAGGAUGACCAGCCUCACUGGGACUGAGACACGGCCCAGACUCCUACGGGAGGCAGCAGUGGGGAAUAUUGGACAAUGGGCGCAAGCCUGAUCCAGCCAUGCCGCGUGGAUGAUGAAGGCCCUAGGGUUGUAAAGUCCUUUUAACGGGGAAGAUAAUGACGGUACCCGUAGAAUAAGCCCCGGCUAACUUCGUGCCAGCAGCCGCGGUUA